rnacentral:rRNA from 1 species
UAUGAUGAUAGAUUACUGGGGGAUCGUCUGAAAAGGCCUGCGCUUAAUUGCGCGGCCAGUUCUUGAUUCUCUGCUAUCAGUUUUCUAUUUCUCAUCCUAAACACAAUGGAGUUUUUUCUCUAUGAACUACUUCCCUGGAGAGCUCGUCCCUCCAGUGGACAUAAACACAAACAAUAUUUUGUAUUAUGAAAAACUAUUAUACUAUAAAAUUUAAUAUUCAAAACUUUCAACAACGGAUCUCUUGGUUCUCGCAUCGAUGAAGAACGCAGCGAAUUGCGAUAUGUAUUGUGAAUUGCAGAUUUUCGUGAAUCAUCAAAUCUUUGAACGCACAUUGCGCCCUCUGGUAUUCCAGGGGGCAUGCCUGUUUGAGCGUCAUUUCUCUCUCAAACCUUUGGGUUUGGUAGUGAGUGAUACUCGUCUCGGGUUAACUUGAAAGUGGCUAGCCGUUGCCAUCUGCGUGAGCAGGGCUGCGUGUCAAGUCUAUGGACUCGACUCUUGCACAUCUACGUCUUAGGUUUGCGCCAAUUCGUGGUAAGCUUGGGUCAUAGAGACUCAUAGGUGUUAUAAAGACUCGCUGGUGUUUGUCUCCUUGAGGCAUACGGCUUUAACCAAAACUCUCAAAGUUUGACCUCAAAUCAGGUAGGAGUACCCGCUGAACU